rnacentral:rRNA from 1 species
CCUACGGGGCGCACCAGUGGGGAAUAUUGGACGAUGGGCGCAAGCCUGAUCCAGCCAUGCCGCGUGAGUGAUGAAGGCCUUAGGGUUGUAAAGCUCUUUCACCGGAGAAGAUAAUGACGGUAUCCGGAGAAGAAGCCCCGGCUAACUUCGUGCCAGCAGCCGCGGUAAUACGAAGGGGGCUAGCGUUGUUCGGAAUUACUGGGCGUAAAGCGCACGUAGGCGGAUAUUUAAGUCAGGGGUGAAAUCCCAGAGCUCAACUCUGGAACUGCCUUUGAUACUGGGUAUCUUGAGUAUGGUAGAGGUAAGUGGAAUUCCGAGUGUAGAGGUGUAAUUCGUAGAUAUUCGAAGGAACACCAGUGGCGAAGGCGGCUUACUGGUCCAUUACUGACGCUGAGGUGCGAAAGCGUGGGGAGCAAACAGGAUUAGAUACCCGCGUAGUC